rnacentral:rRNA from 1 species
GCCUAGCCGUAAACAAUUAACUCACACCAACCAACGCCAGGGAAUUACGAGCUAUGCUUAAAACCCAAAGGACUUGACGGUGUCCCACCCACCUAGAGGAGCCUUUUCUAUAAUCGAUGAUCCCCGAUACACCUAACCAUUCCUCGCCCAUCAGUCUGUAUACCUCCGUCGAAAGCCUACCAUGUGAACGCUUACAGUAGGCCCAAUGAUCCCCAUCAACACGUCAGGUCAAGGUGCAGCUUACGGAAUGGAAAGCAAUGGGCUACAAUUUCUAGUUUAGAACAAACGAAAGACUCUGUGAAACCCUAGUCAUGAAGGCGGAUUUAGUAGUAAAAGGAAAAUAGAGUGUUCCUUUUAACCUGGCUCUGGGACGCGUACACACCGCC